UGGCAGCAGUGGGGAAUUUUGGACAAUGGGGGCAACCCUGAUCCAGCCAUUCCGCGUGAGUGAAGAAGGCCUUCGGGUUGUAAAGCUCUUUCAGCCGGAAAGAAACGGUGCGCUCUAACAUAGCGUGCUAAUGACGGUACCGGCAGAAGAAGCACCGGCUAACUACGUGCCAGCAGCCGCGGUAAUACGUAGGGUGCGAGCGUUAAUCGGAAUUACUGGGCGUAAAGCGUGCGCAGGCGGAUUGUUAAGCAAGAUGUGAAAUCCCCGGGCUUAACCUGGGAAUGGCAUUUUGAACUGGCAGUCUAGAGUGUGUCAGAGGGGGGUGGAAUUCCACGUGUAGCAGUGAAAUGCGUAGAUAUGUGGAGGAACACCAAUGGCGAAGGCAGCCCCCUGGGUCAACACUGACGCUCAUGCACGAAAGCGUGGGGAGCAAACAGGAUUAGAUACCCUAGUAGUC
rnacentral:rRNA from 1 species